rnacentral:rRNA from 1 species
UAUGUUAGCUUGCUAAUAUAUUUAGUAGCAAAUGGGUGAGUAACACGUACCUAACCUACCUUUUGGACCGGGAUAACCAUUGGAAACAGCGGCUAAUACCGGAUAAAAUAAAAAAAUGCAUGUUUUUUUUAUUAAAAGGAGCCUUUAAAGCUCCACCAAAAAAUGGGGGUGCGCAACAUUAGUUAGUUGGUAGGGUAAAGGCCUACCAAGACGAUGAUGUUUAGCGGGGCCAAGAGGCUGUACCGCCACACUGGGAUUGAGAUACGGCCCAGACUCCUACGGGAGGCAGCAGUAAGGAAUAUUCCACAAUGAGCGAAAGCUUGAUGGAGCGACACAGAGUGCAG